rnacentral:rRNA from 1 species
UACGUAGGCAGCGAGCGUUGUUCGGAAUUACUGGGCGUAAAGAGUGUGUAGGCGUGUUCCAAGUCUGGUGUGAAAUCUCCCGGCUCAACUGGGAGGGUGCGCCGGAAACUGAAUGCUAGAGGGUGGGAGAGGUAAGCGGAAUUCCUGGUGUAGCGGUGAAAUGCGUAGAUAUCAGGAGGAACACCUGUGGUGUAGACAGCUUACUAGACCACUUCUGACGCUGAGG